AGAGUUUGAUCAUGGCUCAGGACGAACGCUGGCGGCGCGCCUAAAACAUGCAAGUCGAACGAGAAGCCCGGGCUUGCCCGGGUGGACAGUGGCGAACGGGUGAGUAACACGUGAGGAACCUGCCCCGAAGACCGGGACAACACCGGGAAACCGGUGCUAAUACCGGAUACCUUCACCGGAUCGCAUGUUCUGGUGAAGAAAUGGAUUCCGCUUCGGGAUGGCCUCGCGGCCUAUCAGCUAGUUGGUGAGGUAACGGCUCACCAAGGCGACGACGGGUAGCUGGUCUGAGAGGAUGUCCAGCCACACUGGGACUGAGACACGGCCCAGACUCCUACGGGAGGCAGCAGUUAGGAAUCUUGCGCAAUGGACGAAAGUCUGACGCAGCGACGCCGCGUGCGGGAUGAAGGCCUUCGGGUUGUAAACCGCUUUCAGCAGGGACGAAAUUGACGGUACCUGCAGAAGAAGCCCCGGCCAACUACGUGCCAGCAGCCGCGGUAAUACGUAGGGGGCGAGCGUUGUCCGGAUUUAUUGGGCGUAAAGAGCUCGUAGGCGGUUUGGUAAGUCGGAUGUGAAAUCUCCAGGCUCAACCUGGAGGGGUCAUUCGAUACUGCCAUGACUAGAGUUCGGUAGGGGUGUGUGGAAUUCCUGGUGGAGCGGUGAAAUGCGCAGAUAUCAGGAGGAACACCCGUAGCGAAGGCGGCACACUGGGCCGAUACUGACGCUGAGGAGCGAAAGCGUGGGGAGCGAACAGGAUUAGAUACCCUAGUAGUCC
rnacentral:rRNA from 1 species